rnacentral:sRNA from 1 species
GAGGUGUGAAUGUCGAGUUCAGGACCAU